UACGUAGGGUGCAAGCGUUGUCCGGAAUUAUUGGGCGUAAAGAGCGUGUAGGCGGCUUUGCAAGUCCGUUGUGAAAACUCGGGGCUCAACCUCGAGACGCCGGUGGAAACUGCAAAGCUAGAGUCCGGAAGAGGAGAGUGGAAUUCCUGGUGUAGCGGUGAAAUGCGCAGAUAUCAGGAAGAACACCCGUGGCGAAGGCGGCUCUCUGGGACGGUACUGACGCUGAGACGCGAAAGCGUGGGGAGCGAACAGG
rnacentral:rRNA from 1 species